rnacentral:rRNA from 1 species
AGAGUUUGAUCCUGGCUCAGAAUCAACGCUGGCGGCGUGCCUCAGACAUGCAAGUCGAACGCGAAAUCUCCCUUCGGGGAGAAAGUAGAGUGGCGCACGGGUGAGUAACACGUAGGUAAUCUACCUUUGGAUGGGGAAUAACCCAGAGAAAUCUGGGCUAAUACCGCAUAAUGCAGCGGCACCUAAUGGUGACAGUUGUUAAAGCGGGGGAUCGAAAGACCUCGCGUCUAAAGAGGAGCCUGCGGCGGAUUAGCUAGUUGGUAAGGUAAUGGCUUACCAAGGCUACGAUCCGUAACCGGCCUGAGAGGGCGGUCGGUCACACUGACACUGACAUACGGGUCAGACUCCUACGGGAGGCAGCAGUCGGGAAUUUUGGGCAAUGGGCGAAAGCCUGACCCAGCAACGCCGCGUGAAGGAUGAAAUCCCUCGGGAUGUAAACUUCGCAAGAACAGGAAGAAUAAGUAAGGGUUAAUAUCUCUUACGAUGACGGUACUGUUUGUAAGCUCCGGCUAACUCCGUGCCAGCAGCCGCGGUAAUACGGGGGGAGCAAGCGUUGUUCGGAUUUACUGGGCGUAAAGGGCGCGUAGGCGGCCACCGCAAGUCGACUGUGAAAUCUCUGGGCUUAACCCAGAACGGUCAGCCGAUACUGCGGGGCUAGAGUGCAGAAGGGGCAACUGGAAUUCUCGGUGUAGCGGUGAAAUGCGUAGAUAUCGAGAGGAACACCCGCGGCGAAGGCGGGUUGCUGGGCUGACACUGACGCUGAGGCGCGAAAGCUAGGGGAGCGAACGGGAUUAGAUACCCCGGUAGUCC